UUGUGAUGAGCACAAAGUGGCGGAGUGACGAAUAGGGCCUCAGAGUAAUAAAACAUUCACUACAUCGCUGCCAAACGGCCACGGUGAGCCACUUCCUCAUGGAGACACGAUUAACAAAAGGAAAACCUCUCAGAAAGAAGCAUUGGAAUACUUGCUAAAGACGAAUCGCACUGCCUGGAUUUCUGCUGGAGUUGUAGCGUCACUUUAUCAUUUAGGUCAAACGAAACUAGGCCACCCAGUGAGACUGUAAGGAAAUCACAGAAAAGUGGAUCCAAGGGCCAAAAAGAAAAGCGAUCCUUUGUUUUAGACAAACCGUUGCUCAAGGUGACCUGAAGCAGUUUGUUUUCCAUAAGAUGGAUAAGUGGGCAACAUCAUCCAGCACAGCACAGGGGAAUGAGAGCUCGUCUGCCCCAAUCAUAUUUUCUACCCUGUCUUCACGGUAAACACCAAUCUGUGGGACCCAUCUAGGACGAACUAGGAUGCAUUCACGAAGACAUUAUCCAGACUAAACACACUGCCCAGAAUGUUUCAAGCCUCUCAGAAGAAUAACUGUAUAUCAAUAACAGAGAUUAUGGAGGUAUAUGAUUUUCAUAUAAUUUAUAUUUAUAUGUAUUUAUGUCUAUCUAUCUAUCUGGUUGUGUUGUUCUGCAAUACCCUGAGACUGUAAAGCAUAAAUCAAUCUCGCGUCUGUAAAUUUGUCAUCUUUGCAUUGAUAUGUCAUGUGAGCAGUACACAAUUUCAUGAGGCAUAAGGGUCUGAACUGAGGUAGCACAUUAUGAAAUGGAAUGUUUUGAUACACAUUUUAGUUGGUCAUUAAAAAAAUGAAUCGUUUUGUGGUAUCCUGGGAAACAAGGCCAAGGGAAAUUUUAACUUCUCCAGUUUAAGAUAAACCUAAAAAUGGAUAUGUAGAAUUAAAGGGUUAUUAAUACUUAAUCUGAACAAUAAAAAUAACCUUUGUAUCCAAAUAUAGCAUAGUUGAAAAACUAAAAGCACAUACAAAAUAUUUGUGUGUGUGUGUGUGUGUGUGUGUGUUCUUCUCAGGAUAUUAGAGAACAACACAACUUAACAUGUUAGUUAGGACGUUAGAUAGAUAGAUAGAUAGAUAGAUAGAUAGAUAGAUAGAUAGAUAGAUAGAUAGAUAGAUAGAUAGAUAGAUAGAUAGAUAGAUAGAUAGAUAGAGACAUAAUAGACACAUUUUGCAUGUUUAUUUUGUAAACCUUACACUUAAAAAUUGUAUUUACAGUUAAGGAAAAAGCCUGAAGAAGAAUGAAAUUGGUAUUAAGGUCACCAAUAAAAGCAUGCUCAGAUCAGACAAAUUAUAAAAACUCCAGUUCACUUGAAU